GUGUGUGCGUGCGUGUGUGCGUGUGUGUGUGUGUGCGCGUGUGUGUGUGCGUGCGCACACACACACACACACACACACACACAG